AUUGAACGCUGGCGGCAGGCCUAACACAUGCAAGUCGAGCGAGCGGCGGACGGGUGAGUAAUGUCUGGGAAACUGCCUGAUGGAGGGGGAUAACUACUGGAAACGGUAGCUAAUACCGCAUACCAUCAGAUGUGCCCAGAUGGGAUUAUCUAGUAGGUGGGGUAACGGCUCACCAAGGCCACGAUGCAUAGCCGACCUGAGAGGGUGAUCGGCCACACUGGGACUGAGACACGGCCCAGACUCCUACGGGAGGUAGCAGUGGGGAAUAUGGCACAAUGGGCGCAAGCCUGAUGCAGCCAUGCCGCGUGUGUGAAGAAGGCCUUCGGGUUGUAAAGCACUUUCAGCGGGGAGGCGUUACCCGCAGAAGAAGCACCGGCUAACUCCGUGCCAGCAGCCGCGGUAAUAC
rnacentral:rRNA from 1 species